rnacentral:lncRNA from 1 species
CUUCUUCUUCUGUGGGCUUUUUAAGGACGGCUUUCCUACUGGAAAUUGCGCCCUAUAUGUUCCUAAUGGUUUUUUUUUUUUUGUUUUGUUUUACCAAAAAAAAAAAAAAAAAAAAAAGAAUUUACUUAAUUUUUUUUUUAUGACUUUUGUUGUGAGUUUUACAAGAACCUAGUGUGUCGCUCAUUUGUUGUUUUUAAUCAGAUGUUACUUAUUUGCUUAUGAAAUAUACGACUUAAGUUUUGAUCAGUUGCCCCAGCCAGUGGUCCCGUGAGAAUCGUGUAUACGCACUAUCCCACGGAGGUACUAACCAUGGUAGUGUAGGUUAAUUACAAACUGUAACCAGACAUUGACCUGUUCUCUGUCUG